rnacentral:tRNA from 1 species
GGAGGUAUAGCUCAAUGGUAGAGUGCUUGCCUAGCAUGCAUGAAGCCCUGGGUUCCAUCCCCAGCACCA